rnacentral:rRNA from 1 species
UACAGAGGGUGCGAGCGUUGUUCGGAAUUAUUGGGCGUAAAGAGCGCGCAGGCGGUCGUUCAAGUCGCGUGUGAAAGCCCCCGGCUCAACUGGGGAGAGUCACGCGAUACUGAUCGACUCGAAGGCAGGAGAGGGUAGUGGAAUUCCCGGUGUAGUGGUGAAAUGCGUAGAUAUCGGGAGGAACACCAGUGGCGAAGGCGACUACCUGGCCUGUUCUUGACGCUGAGGCGCGAAAGCUAGGGGAGCAAACGGG